rfam:Arabidopsis lyrata subsp. lyrata unplaced genomic scaffold ARALYscaffold_1, whole genome shotgun sequence.
GCCUCCGAUGAUGAUCAAAUCAUAACUUUCGUUCUUCCGAGAUUUAUCAUGCGGAGAAAUUAUGGAGACCUGAACUGAGCUGAGGC